rnacentral:rRNA from 1 species
ACAGUGGCUGUGUAGGUGGAAGCAGCGGUGGAGAAGGAGGAUGAGGUAGCCAACACUGGUUUAUAUAUAUAUAUAUUUUAAUUGGGGUAGCCAUCAAAAUAUUGGGACAUAUAAAAAAAGACAACUCUGUUCCGCAGAGUAGCUGUUGACAUUAUAGUUGCGCAGGCACUUCCCCGUGACGGCGACUUUGCAUUUGGAUGCCAUCCAUAUCAACUUUCGAUGCCAUUUUCUGCACCUACCAUGGUGACCACGAGUAACGGGGAAUCAGGGUUCCAUUCCGUACAGGGAUCCUGAGAAAUGGCUACCACGUGCAAGGAAGGCAGCAGGCGCGCAAAUGACCCACUCCCGAUGCGGGAAGGUAGUGAC